rnacentral:misc_RNA from 1 species
GAUGAAGAACGUAGCGAAAUGCGAUAAGUAAUGCGAAUUGCAGAAUUCCGUGAGUCAUCGAAUCUUAGAACGCACAUUGCGCCCUCUGGUAUUCCGGAGGGCAUGCCUGUCUGAGCGUCAUUGUCAACCCUCAAGCUCAGCUUGCUGUUGGGUCCCCGUCGUUGCUUUAACGGCGGACCCGAAAGGUAAUGGCAGAGUCCGUGAGACCCUAGACGCAGCGAGCUUCUAGCACGCGUCUGGACGUUUUUCGGGCUCGGUCUUAACUAGAUGAUAACUUCCGAUUGACCUCAGAUCAGGUAGGGAUACCCGCUGAACUUAAGCAUAUCAAUAAGCGGAGGA